UACGUAGGCAGCGAGCGUUGUUCGGAGUUACUGGGCGUAAAGAGUGCGUAGGCGGUUUUCUAAGUUUGGUGUGAAAUCUCCCGGCUCAACUGGGAGGGUGCGCCGAAGACUGGAAGGCUUGAGUAUGGGAGAGGUAAGCGGAAUUCCUGGUGUAGCGGUGAAAUGCGUAGAUAUCAGGAGGAACACCUGCGGUGUAGACGGCUUGCUGGACCAUAACUGACGCUGAGGCACGAAAGCGUGGGUAGCAAACAGG
rnacentral:rRNA from 1 species